GUGCUUGCUUCAUCAGCACAUACAAUAAAAUUGAAAGAAUAUGGAGAUUAGCAUGGUCCUUGCCCAAGGAUGGCAUAAAAAUUUAUGAAGCAUUUCAUAUUUUG
ensembl:snRNA U6 U6 spliceosomal RNA